rnacentral:rRNA from 1 species
GACAGGCAGUGUGAACGUUAUUCGGAUUGAUUGGGCGUAAAGGGUAUGUAGGCGGAUCUUAAUAACGAAGGACGAAAAGCUAGAGUAUACUUUUAGACAAGGACCUUCCAGAUUAUUUGGUCUUGAGUUAAUCAGGCGUUUGAGUUAUCUCUCAUGUAAGGGUCAUAUCUUUAGAGAUGGGACAGACCGCCGGCGGCGAAGGCUUCUUUCGAUGGUUAACUGACGCUGAGGUACGAAAGUUUGGGGCGCAAACCGG